rnacentral:rRNA from 1 species
GGACUACAGGGGUUUCUAAUCCGGUUCGCUCCCCACGCUUUCGCGCCUCAGCGUCAGGUACAGCCCAGUCGGCCGCCUUCGCCACUGGUGUUCCUCCCGAUCUCUACGCAUUUCACCACUCCACCGGGAAUUCCACCGACCUCUGCUGCCCUCAAGCCUGCCAGUAUCCCAUGCCGUGUUCCGGUUGAGCCGAAACCUUUCACAUCGAACUUAACAGGCCGCCUACGCGCGCUUUACGCCCAGUAAAUCCGGACAACGCUCGCCACCUACGUAUUACCGCGGCGGCUGGCAC